rnacentral:rRNA from 1 species
UGGGGAAUUUUGGACAAUGGGCGCAAGCUUGAUCCAGCAAUGCCGCGUGCAGGAAGAAGGCCUUCGGGUUGUAAACUGCUUUUGUACGGAACGAAAGGGCUCUGGUUAAUACCUGGGGCUAAUGACGGUACCGUAAGAAUAAGCACCGGCUAACUACGUGCCAGCAGCCGCGGUAAUACGUAGGGUGCAAGCGUUAAUCGGAAUUACUGGGCGUAAAGCGUGCGCAGGCGGUUUUGUAAGACAGGCGUGAAAUCCCCGGGCUCAACCUGGGAAUUGCGCUUGUGACUGCAAGGCUGGAGUGCGGCAGAGGGGGAUGGAAUUCCGCGUGUAGCAGUGAAAUGCGUAGAUAUGCGGAGGAACACCGAUGGCGAAGGCAAUCCCCUGGGCCUGCACUGACGCUCAUGCACGAAAGCGUGGGGAGCAAACAGGAUUAGAUACCCUGGUAGUCCACGCCCUAAACGAUGUCAACUGGUUGUUGGGUCUCUUCUGACUCAGUAACGAAGCUAACGCGUGAAGUUGACCGCCUGGGGAGUACGGCCGCAAGGUUG